UCUUGGAGACUAGUGCUUCUCGCCGGAGAUCACCGCCGGGAUCUCGAGAUCUCGCCGGAGGUGGAGAGCCGGAUGAAGGGCUAGCCGGAGGAGAUGAUGGACGCUUUGGAGGAGUCGCUUCCGUUCAGGCAAGUCAUAUCUAGGUUCCCUGGCGGCAAGUCAAAGUCGUUCACUUACCUGGCAGAUGCAGUGUCCCCGGUUUCAUUGGCCCAGAGCCAUACGAAGAAAGAGAAUGCAUGCACACUGCAAGCGCCAGAAUAUAUUCAUCUUGGAUGAAUUUGGUCAGCUGCUCUUUCCCUGUCACCUGACUGGCUCUCUCACGUCUUCUCCUGGUACGGAUGCCUCUCUACUGCAUCAUUCUUUACCGAAAACAUUAACAUUGUCUACAAAAUCUUCCUUGAGGACCAAUCUCUCAACUUGUUCUAGCCCAGUCUCUUGGCAGAAAAGUCAUAUAUGAUCUCUUGGUGACUACUAUCCCUAUUUUUUUUAUCUCAUGGGUUGUGGUGUCCAAAAGUUAGAGAUUGAGUUUGUAAUUUUGCAUAGAUGCUGGUUCUUUGAUUUCUUUUGUACAUGUCGAAACUCUGAGAAUCAACUCAUGUAAAGCAUUCAGAUCAGUGUUUCGCAUUGUCCUUGUACUGUCGAAUGAGAUGUAUUUCACAGUAAACUCAAACCUGUAUGAGCAAAUGUGAUUAAUAUGAAGAGAUGAUUGUUGUCUA